CUACGGAGGGUGCAAGCGAUACUCGGAAUCACUGGGCGUAAAGCGCGCGCAGGCGGCUAUUUAAGUUGGAUGUGAAAGCCUACGGCUCAACCGUAGAACUGCAUCCAAAACUAUUUAGCUAGAGUGUGGGAGAGGAAGAUGGAAUUAGUUGUGUAGGGGUAAAAUCCGUAGAGAUAACUAGGAAUACCAAAAGCGAAGGCAAUCUUCUGGAACACUACUGACGCUGAGGCGCGAAAGCGUGGGGAGCAAACAGGAUUAGAUACCCUAGUAGUCC
rnacentral:rRNA from 1 species